ACAUGGGAUGAAAGGGCGCCAACCUUUGGUGCUUCAACUUCUCAUGUGGUGAAUAAAUUUACUGAGUGAAUUUUUAGCAUUCCAAAUACUUGUAGUAGAAGGACUCUCCUUCUUUUAUGUGUCAUAAAAACUUCAACAAAACAUAGGAGAUUUGAUUAGGAAAAUAUGGCAAUGUGUAAAAAUUAAGAGCCUUCAUUAAGAAGGACUCUUCAUUUCAUAUGCCAAAAAUAAGGGGGCAGCAUUUAUAUUUUGCCAUGACUUCUAGUGGGCACAGAGGAGUCCUCCACUUGAAACUGGUUCAAGUUGGAUAAGGAUCCAAUCCAAAUUAACCCAAUCCCAUU
rnacentral:lncRNA from 1 species